UGGAAAUUUUUUCAAAUAAGAAACUUUUUCUUUAAAAAUAGAAAAUUACAAUUCGUCGGAUUCUAAUCGGACUUUCGCAGUGAAUAUUGUUUCGGGUUUAAAGUUUCAAAGUCAUUCGUCGGAUUCUAAUUGGUUCUCGCGGUGAAUAUUGGUUCGGGUUUGUCGGGGUUAAAGUCGUUUCGAAAAAAAAUUAAUUCGUUUCGGGAAUGUGUUCCAUGAUCUAAUUUUUAGCGUUUAUCUGGUUUAUUUGGAAGAUUUGAUUAUAUUGGAAAAUCUCUUUGAUAAAAAUAUAAAUUAUUAAUGUCAUCCAUAACCGCAGCGGAAAUGUGAAAAAUAAGUGCCCUAAAAUUCGUGUACUUUUUAUAUAGCGGUGUAAAAUUAUUCAGAUAAAAGUCCUUUUAAAAUAGUGUAAAAAUAAAAUUCAACGUUCGUGGCUAUUAAAAAGAUUGUGGUUCGCAAUAUUGUUAAAAAUGUCGUCGUUUUUUGCUGAAACGGAAUCAAUAUGGCAGACCCUUUUUUGCAAACAAAUUGGAGAGAAUAAUUCUGGAAGUGUUUGGGAAAAGAAAUGGGUUAUGUCGGAGUGAUGAUAUCAGGUUGUAAUACCAACAGCAAACACCAAAUUUCAAGCUCUCUCCUCUGGCGUUUCAUCCUCAUUGCUGUCGUCCUCAUCUUCGUCGAUGAUGAA